AACGAUUUAAAUACAUUAUUUUGGUGUAAUUUAUUAUCAAACUGCAGCCUCUCCCCUGUUUGUGUCUGGUCUGAGCUCUUCCACACACACACACACACACACACACACACACACACAGCAAAGUCAGCAGAUCAGAGAGGCCGUAGCGCGUUACUCGAGACAACUAUGCUCAUUGCUGUAAAGAGUGGAGUCAGGUGUGUUGGAGUUGGGACACCAGCUGCCAAUCAUCAGCAAUCUGCUCUGCUUCUUAUACGUGGUUCCCACCUCAACCCACCGCCAGAUUGUAGACUAUGCUAAAACGUCAGUCUUGGCCCGGUCUGAUCAAGUCUACUCUAUUUGAUUUUUGCAACCUUGCUUACCCCUGUUUGCUGUGCCGUGCAGUCUUUUCACCUGGACCCGACUACUGCCUCUUCGCUACCCCUUUUUCCUGCCUGGACUCUGCACCUCUAUCCCUGGAUAACCUGAUACACUGUUGGAUCGGAAUUCCCUUGCCAGAUCUCUGGACUCCCUCCGUCUGACUUCACUACCUGUUCCUUUGCCUGGCUCGGCUUACUCCUACUGUUGGAAACACUUGACUUUCCCAAGUCCCACAGACCCUUGCCCCAACACACAUCUAAGUAUUAUAAAUCCUUGUCUAUUCAAGUACUUGCUCUGUGUACCGUGUUCUGCAUUUGGGUUCUAAAUGAAGUCUGGCUUUAACACCUUGUUCUUUUUAUAAACAUUUAUGUAUAUGGCAAUUUUCUGUAUCACUAAGAGUAGUAGUCAUUAAAAAACCAAAUGACA